rnacentral:lncRNA from 1 species
GCAAACAAGAGGGAGCUCAGCGCCGAUCCUUGAUGGAGCCCCAUAACCACUGGAAAAUGGUCGGAUCACUUUUAUGAAGAGAAAACUGAAAAUAUAUUUUGGUUUUGUCAAAGAGAAUUUUGUAUUAGAAGGACCAAUAUGUGGGUAUGCCAUUCUGAGUCAAUAAUAUUCUGUCAGACACGAGUCUAGGACAACCCGAAAUUGGAAGGCGAACAUUCUUUUGGUGCAGCCUGAAAUAAAGAGAUGGAUGUUGACUUGAUAAUGCAUGGAAAAUUUGUUAUGGAGGAAGAAGAAAAAAUGGUAUAUAGCCUUGUAUUACCAACCUCUACGCUUAUAGUCAAAACUAGAACGUAGGAGUUAACU